rnacentral:rRNA from 1 species
AUAAUUAUGUUUGAAAUUUUUAUAUAAUUAUAGGUUAAAUUUUAAUUAUUUAAAAUGUAUAGUUAUAAUUUUAAAUUUUGUUAAUCGAAUUAGAUUAGUACCUAAUUAGUCAAAAGUUAAAAAAGCAGAAGUAAAGUAAAAUUUAAACUGAAAGAAUAUUGGCAGAUUUUCUAAAUUAUCUUUGGAGGUUGAGUAAUAAUUGAGAACCCUCAUUAACUACUUUUUUAGUUGUCUCAUGUAUGAUCGUUUAUUAUAUGCUUAAGGGAUAUAAUUAAAAAUUUUUAUUUAAAAAAAUAGAUAUAUAUUUGGUUUAUAUAAAAGUAAUAUUUGACCUACAGUAAUUUGUAAUUGUGGAUCUAUUUUUUAGUAAAGUAGUGAAAAUGUAAAAGACAGUAAAAAAAUUUUUAUGAUUUUUUGAAGAUUAUUUA